GCAGCCUCGUACAUGGUCAACAGGUAGUCAAAAGCAGUGUAACUUGUAUAUAUCAAAAGAAGGUAUUACAACCCACUGGUUCAUAUAAAGUACAGAGCUUCUACAUAGUUUAUAUACACAAAAGUUUAUUUAUAUCAUCCCAAAAAUAAAGAAGCCCUGUUGCAAAAAAAAAAUACUUCUGGCAGCUGUCACUGGUGGUGAUCUAAAAAAAAACGUAAAUGAACAGGCAUGAGCUACACGGCUCAGUAAGUAAUCCUGCAUAAUCUUGUCGAAUCGACUAAAAAUGCUAACCAUGCUUAUCAGGGUUUGAGAAGCUGACAUGUAUGCUACUAAAUCAAUCAUCAUAAUAAAAUAUCCAUGCUGAGUAAAUAAAACAGUAUCCUACAAUGUCAAGAAAUCAUGUAAUAUGCACAUGUAGGAAAAAUCGUGCCACCGGCAUGCCGUGGUCAUGCUCUUAAAUGCUACUGCGAAGUCAUUCUUGGCCACUGGCGGGACCGGCUCAGUUAUUAGGCGGCCACUGGCGGGGCUGGCUCAGUCAUUCUCGGCCACUGGCAAGGCCGGCUCAGUUACAUUGGGUCAGUAGCUCUUAAGAGUUCAUAAAUAAUGCUUCGUGUAGGUAGUACCUCAUAGAUGCUACGGCGAAUUCAUUAUUGGUCACUGGCGGGGCCUGCUCAGUUAUUAGUCGGCCACUGGUGGGGCUGGCUCAGUCAUUAUCGGCCACUAGCAAGGCCGGCUCAGUUGCAUUCGGCCCGUAGCAUUAGGAGUUCUUAGGUACCCUCUUACAAGCAAUAUGCAGCUAGAGCAAAUCAUUAUCAUUCUUUACACUCAUGCUAAUAAAAAUCAUAAUAUGGAAUUCAAUUCAUUUUGCAUGUAUCACAAGAGCUAUGAAAACAUAAUAUGUGCACAACUAUGAAUUAUGUGACUGACAUGUAUCACUCAUGUUCAUAUUUCAUAACUCAUAUCUUAGCAUGUAAUGUAAUCCCAGUAUUUUGUAGGCAUAACAGAAUAUAAAGCAUAUAUCAUCAUAUCUUGUGUAACUAGAGCAUGUCAGAUACACGUAUCGUUCUUAGCCUACAGUACAUGCAUAACAUGUUAAAUUUCAUGUAUGAUCCAUAAAAGAUUAGGACAGGCUACUUACAUACAUGAUUCACAACAAGAUUAAAACAAGUUACUUACAGUAAUUUGCCUUUCUCCUAGGUCUCCUGCGUCCUGGUGACGAGUCCUAAGUCACCUACAAUCAUGUCAUAAU
rnacentral:lncRNA from 1 species